rnacentral:rRNA from 1 species
AGUGAACGCUGGCGGUAGGCCUAACACAUGCAAGUCGAACGGCAGCACAGGAGAGCUUGCUCUCUGGGUGGCGAGUGGCGGACGGGUGAGGAAUACAUCGGAAUCUACUCUGUCGUGGGGGAUAACGUAGGGAAACUUACGCUAAUACCGCAUACGACCUACGGGUGAAAGCAGGGGACCUUCGGGCCUUGCGCGAUUGAAUGAGCCGAUGUCGGAUUAGCUAGUUGGCGGGGUAAAGGCCCACCAAGGCGACGAUCCGUAGCUGGUCUGAGAGGAUGAUCAGCCACACUGGAACUGAGACACGGUCCGGACUCCUACGGGAGGCAGCAGUGGGGAAUAUUGGACAAUGGGCGCAAGCCUGAUCCAGCCAUACCGCGUGGGUGAAGAAGGCCUUCGGGUUGUAAGGCCCUUUUGUUGGGAAAGAAAUCCAGCUGGCUAAUACCCGGUUGGGAUGACGGUACCCAAAGAAUAAGCACCGGCUAACUUCGUGCCAGCCGCCGCAGUAA